GCCGCUGUAGCUCAGUUGGUAGAGCAGCGCAUUCGUAAUGCGAAGGUCGGAGGUUCGACUCCUCUCAGCGGCA
rnacentral:tRNA from 1 species